rnacentral:rRNA from 1 species
AUACGGAGGGUGCGAGCGUUAAUCGGAAUUACUGGGCGUAAAGCGUGCGUAGGCGGUUUGCUAAGUCAGAUGUGAAAGCCCCGGGCUUAACCUGGGAACUGCAUUUGAUACUGGCAGACUAGAGUAUGAUAGAGGGGGGUAGAAUUCCUGGUGUAGCGGUGAAAUGCGUAGAUAUCAGGAGGAAUACCAGUGGUGAAGGCGGCCCCCUGGAUCAAUACUGACGCUGAGGUACGAAAGCGUGGGGAGCGAACAGGAUUAGAAACCCUAGUAGUCC